rnacentral:rRNA from 1 species
AUUGAACGCUGGCGGCAGGCCUAACACAUGCAAGUCGAGCGGAUGAAGGGAGCUUGCUCCUGGAUUCAGCGGCGGACGGGUGAGUAAUGCCUAGGAAUCUGCCUGGUAGUGGGGGAUAACGUCCGGAAACGGGCGCUAAUACCGCAUACGUCCUGAGGGUGAAAGUGGGGGAUCUUCGGACCUCACGCUAUCAGAUGAGCCUAGGUCGGAUUAGCUAGUUGGUGGGGUAAAGGCCUACCAAGGCGACGAUCCGUAACUGGUCUGAGAGGAUGAUCAGUCACACUGGAACUGAGACACGGUCCAGACUCCUACGGGAGGCAGCAGUGGGGAAUAUUGGACAAAGGGCGAAAGCCUGAUCCAGCCAUGCCGCGUGUGUGAAGAAGGUCUUCGGAUUGUAAAGCACUUUAAGUUGGGAGGAAGGGCAGUAAGUUAAUACCUUGCUGUUUUGACGUUACCAACAGAAUAAGCACCGGCUAACUUCGUG